UAUCUCUGUAGAGUCUGCAUAUCAAUAAGCGGAGGAAAAGAAACUAACAAGGAUUCCCUUAGUAACGGCGAGUGAAGCGGGAAGAGCUCAAAUUUGAAAUCUUCAAGGUUCUACCUUGACGAAUUGUAGUUUAAAGAAGUGUUUUCUGUUAGUGGAGUGGCAAAAGUUCUUUGGAAUAGGACAUCAUAGAGGGUGAGAAUCCCGUAUUUGGUCAUUCCUUCUAGCUUUGUGAUACACUUUCAAAGAGUCGGAUUGUUUGGGAAUGCAGUCCAAAAUGGGUGGUAAAUUUCAUCUAAAGCUAAAUAUUGGCGAGAGACCGAUAGCGAACAAGUACCGUGAGGGAAAGAUGAAAAGAACUUUGAAAAGAGAGUUAAACAGUACGUGAAAUUGUCAAAAGGGAAGCGUUUGACACCAGUGUUGUUUUCUCGAAAAUCAAUUAAAAAUGGCCGGAUUUUGUGUUGUAUUGACUUUAUCAGCUUUCUGCACUUUUUUCUUGUCUUUUUUAAUGCACUUUUCGUCUAACAAGUCAACAUCAAUUUCUUUUGUUGUAAAAGGGUCAUUGGAAGGAGGCUUUCUUUUCGGAGAAAGUGUUUAUAGCCUUUGGCCUCUGCAAUCGGAGAGAUUGAGGUCUGCAGCGUAGAUCCUUCGGGGUUAGAUACAUUUGUGCUAAGUUAUAGCCUUUCAUAGACAACUUGUUGACUAUGAUCAGUCAUGUAGCUUACUCGCUUAUGCUAUUUACCUACGCUUAGGAUGUUGAGUAGCGACAUACGCAC
rnacentral:rRNA from 1 species